GCCCCGCCCCCUCAGCGGCUCCCGCCCGCCCUGGACUGGGGGUUCCGGGCCGUCAAAGUCCAGGGAUGGCCCUGCCCCUCGGCACUCUGGUUGGAGCCCGCCCAGCACCAAGCAGCGAGAUGACACUCACUGGCUCUGCUUGUUCGUGGUGUGUUCCCUCUGCACUCCCGUGAUCUCACCCGGCUGUGACCUGUCACCUGGCCCGAUCCCCUGGUGGCUCUGCCUCCUGCCCCCUCCUCUGCCCGGGCGCCCACACCCACGUGACAGGUCGUGUCGCUGGCUCUCUGUCCGUAUGAAGACAGGAUUGUAGCUUCAUAGGAAGACCGCUGACGUCAUGCUGAGGAUGGAGCGUCUGCGUUUUUUGCCUUCUGCUGGCUCCUCCCUCGUCUGCAUCUCGAAGCGCUGUCCCAGGAGAGGGGUCAGUGUGCUGAGCUCAGGGGCCGCCGCCUGCCUUCCCACUAGUCUCACUGGGGCGCGGUCACCUCACGAGCGGCUGGGGCCCACUGAGCCGAAAAUACUUGCGUCUGGUCCUUCGGAAAAGGACCCACCUUCAAUAGCUGGUUUUCUGAAGCUGCUGACAGCAGAAUCCACCAACGAAGUUCAAACCCAGAAAAUCUGAGGCUUUCCUGAGCUUGGAUUCUGACUGGGAUCAGGGGAUGGUGGGCAGUGGGCGGUGGGGUCUCUACUGGCUCCGGUGGUCCCCGCAAUGCUCUGGUUCCUCCUGAGGGGACCCCUUGGCUGUUGGAAGACAGUGACUGCCCUGGCUCAGGGGGCUGCCUGCGCCCCCACCUGUAACUCUCCCCUGAGACCCCGUCUUUGACCCACCUUUGUGCAUCUGCCCCUGGGACCACGCUGCUCCUACGAGAAGCUGGCUUUGCCCUCACGGGACUUGUUUAAAUUACAGUCAUGACUGUAUGCCCUAACUCAUUUAUAUAGUCGACCACUCCCUGAGUCACAAGGAAGAGUGUUCAAAGCCUUUUCUCCCGUAAGUGGCAGUUUAAUCAGACAUUGUCAGGACAUCUGGGGAUGAGGAUAAAUAAUUUAUUUGCUUUUUUCUUACAUAGAAAAAGGGCGCAUCCCAAGGAAGCAAAAAGUAUUUGAGAAAAUGAACACGUUUUUCUUUGGCCAGGAGAUGCUUCUAUUUACAUCAUGCCUCGACACAAAGCAGAGAGCCUGCCUGGCAAGUGACCCCCAGCCGCCCACGCCGGCACUCAGGAAGGCCCAGGACGCAGGCUCGGCGCUCGAGGCCCUCGGGGGCACUGGAGUGGACAUGGUAAACCCGAGACACGGCAGUGGUAACUGCCGUGGAGGAGACACCACGGGGAUGCGGGGCAGGGAUGGGGCCCCGUGAGGGGUGGCUGUGGCUUGGGGGCGGGGGCUCCUGGCCCUCCCCGCCCUGGGUGCCGGCCCGUCCUCCCUGGACACAGACCUGACGGCCCAUCCUCCCUGGACACACACCUGAUGGCCCGUCCACCCUGGGUGCCGGCCCAUCCACCCUGGACAGACCUGAUGGCUCCCCAGCAGAAAGACCCUCGUCCGCUGUGGGGAGAGACGUGUUUCUGGAAACAGACGUUGCGGGCAUCAGUGUGAUGAGAGAGGCUCCCGGAUGGCCGGGAGGGCCAUGCACUGGAGACAGAGGGGCGGCCGGAGGCCUCCAGUGUCCAGGGCGGGUGGCCCCUGCCCCAUGGGAGGAGGGCAUGGCCCGCCCUGCCGGCCAGAGGAGGCUGAAGCUCAUGGCUCGGGGAUAAGCCGGCUCCCGGCGCUGCCCUGGGUGAGGAGGGCUUGCGGGCUCGCUCACAGAGGUGCGUGGGGACAGGACUUGGGGCUGGGCCCUCCUGGUCUCCCCCGGGCAUCAGAGCGGCAGGCACGGUUGGACCUGAGCCUCUCUCUGAACUGCUGUCCCCCACGUGUCCUGCCCCAGGCCUCCCCCUCACCUUCCAGUCCUGUCUGCCUGGCCAGCCUGCACCUCGAAGGCAGACCCGGAUCUCAAACAUAAUGUGCCCCCGAAGGGUAUCUCGAUGCUCCUCCCCACCCUGCCCCCCGCCCCAAUCCUAAUUCCCCUCCAAUCUUUCUCAGCCGGGGAACAGCAAAUUAUUCAUUGAAUGGCCAAGUAUUGAGCUUGGAGUAUUUUUUGAUUCUUCUUUCUUUUUCCCUCCUCCCAGAUCAUCCACCUGCAAGCACUGUUGAUUCUCUUAACACACACCCGGGUCUACUCGCCGUCCUCUGUUUGCAGGGCCGCCUUCCUGCAGCCCCAGCCCCUCCCUGGGCGCUGGAAGGGCCUCUUUUCCUCCGCUCUUGCCCAGGGUGACUCAGCCACACGCACGUCGUCAGGAGCGCUCAUCAUUCAGUGAGGGGACCGCAAGGCCCAGGAAGGCCUCUCCUGCGACACAGAGAGAGACACAGGCUUCAGGGAUUCCAGAGGAUGGAUGAACAGAAGGAAACAAGAGCAGAGCAGAUGGGAAUAAUGGGAGCAUCGUUGUCGGAGCUGAAGGGAGGCUCACGGAGCCCUGCGGGGUCCCAGCCGGACCCUGAACCCGUAGAGUACAAGAGACAGACAGAGAGAGAGAGACAGAGACACACAGAGAGACACAGACACAGAGAGACACAGAGACACAGAGAGAGAGAGAGAGAGAGAAACACAGAGA